rnacentral:snoRNA from 1 species
AUGAUUGGAGCCUCCGUAUCAGAGGGGUGAAGAUAUCACGUACCGCCUGA